rnacentral:rRNA from 1 species
ACUCAAAUGAAUUGACGGGGGCCCGCACAAGCGGUGGAACAUGUGGUUUAAUUCGAUACUACGCGAGGAACCUUACCUGGGUUUGACAUGUACUUGACAGCUGUAGAAACACAGUCUUCCGGGCUUCGGUUCGGACAGGUACACAGGUGCUGCAUGGCUGUCGUCAGCUCGUGUCGUGAGAUGUUGGGUUAAGUCCUCUAACGAGCGCAACCCUUGCCUUCAGUUGCCACUACGUAAGUAGGGCACUCUGAAGGGACUGCCUGGGAAACCAGGAGGAAGGUGGGGAUGACGUCAAGUCCUCAUGGCCCUUAUACCCAGGGCGACACACGUGUUACAAUGGCCAGUACAAAGAGCUGCUAACCUGCAAAGGCAUGCUAAUCUCAAAAAACUGGUCUAAGUUCAGAUUGGGGUCUGCAACUCGACCCCAUGAAGCUGAAAUCGCUAGUAAUCGCGCAUCAGCAACGGCGCGGUGAAUACGUUCUCGGGCCUUGUACACACCGCCCGU